rnacentral:rRNA from 1 species
UACGUAGGGUGCGAGCGUUGUCCGGAAUUAUUGGGCGUAAAGGGCGCGUAGGCGGCCACCGCAAGUCGGUUGUGAAAUCUCCGGGCUUAACCCGGAAAGGUCAAUCGAUACUGCGGGGCUAGAGUGCAGAAGGGGCAACUGGAAUUCUCGGUGUAGCGGUGAAAUGCGUAGAUAUCGAGAGGAACACCUGCGGCGAAGGCGGGUUGCUGGGCUGACACUGACGCUGAAGCGCGAAAGCUAGGGGAGCGAACGGG